GUGGCGGACGGGUGAGUAACGCGUGGGUAACCUGCCUUAUACUGGGGGAUAACAGCCAGAAAUGACUGCUAAUACCGCAUAAGCGCACAGAACCGCAUGGUUCGGUGUGAAAAACUCCGGUGGUAUAAGAUGGACCCGCGUUGGAUUAGCUAGUUGGCAGGGCAGCGGCCUACCAAGGCGACGAUUCAUAGCCGGCCUGAGAGGGUGAACGGCCACAUUGGGACUGAGACACGGCCCAGACUCCUACGGGAGGCAGCAGUGGGGAAUAUUGCACAAUGGGGGAAACCCUGAUGCAGCGACGCCGCGUGAAGGAAGAAGUAUCUCGGUAUGUAAACUUCUAUCAGCAGGGAAGAUAAUGACGGUACCUGACUAAGAAGCCCCGGCUAACUACGUGCCAGCAGCCGCGGUAAUACGUAGGGGGCAAGCGUUAUCCGGAUUUACUGGGUGUAAAGGGAGCGUAGACGGCGCAGCAAGUCUGAUGUGAAAGGCAGGGGCUUAACCCCUGGACUGCAUUGGAAACUGCUGUGCUUGAGUGCCGGAGGGGUAAGCGGAAUUCCUAGUGUAGCGGUGAAAUGCGUAGAUAUUAGGAGGAACACCAGUGGCGAAGGCGGCUUACUGGACGGUAACUGACGUUGAGGCUCGAAAGCGUGGGGAGCAAACAGGAUU
rnacentral:rRNA from 1 species